UGGAAAUGAUGAAAUAGAGAUAAUUGGGUGUUGAAUGUUGUGUGAUUGGAAACUUUUGAUAUGUAAGUUAAGUAAUUAAGCUUAAUAUUUUAUAGAUAAUAGAGUGUGUGUGUGUGCCACUUGUGUGUGUGUGUGCCACUUGUGUGUGUGUGUGUGCACUCAUGGAGGCUAUUGAAAGGGGGCACUGACUGGUGAUGCUGAUAUUGGAGUGCAUCUGAGGCUGUUGUAAAAAUACAUGGGUUGUUGAUUACAACGUUGCCGAUGAUUAUAACCCAAGAACAGCUCACCUAAGUAGCCUAGCACCCUAAAAUCUCUAACAGGUUCAUCAAACAUGGCCCUGUGAUCUGAUCCAA